GGAUGUGAGGGCAAUCUGGCUGCGACAUCUGUCACCCCAUUGAUCGCCAGGGUUGAUUGGGCUGAUCUGGCUGGCUAGGCUGGUGUCCCCUUCCUCCCUCACCACUCCAUGUGAGUCCCUCCCAAAGCUGAGUACUGGGUCUAAAAGAAUGGCCUUCCCUGAAUAGAGACAGACUGGUCUUAGGUUGAGGGUAUAGAAGUAGCUGCACUCCCUUGCAAGAACCUCCAAACAGACUCUUAAGAUAUUGUUAGACAGUCUCCUGUAUAUAUGAUAAAAAAUACUGAAAAAUUUUAGAAGGAAUUUAUGUGAUUAUUUUA
rnacentral:snRNA from 1 species